UACGUAGGGUGCGAGCGUUGUCCGGAUUUAUUGGGCGUAAAGAGCUCGUAGGCGGUUUGUCGCGUCGGCCGUGAAAUCUCCACGCUUAACGUGGAGCGUGCGGUCGAUACGGGCAGACUUGAGUUCGGUAGGGGAGACUGGAAUUCCUGGUGUAGCGGUGAAAUGCGCAGAUAUCAGGAGGAACACCGGUGGCGAAGGCGGGUCUCUGGGCCGAUACUGACGCUGAGGAGCGAAAGCGUGGGGAGCAAACCGG
rnacentral:rRNA from 1 species